UUWAAUGGCCGCAGUAAUUUGACUGUGCAAAGGUAGCAUAAUAAUUAGUUUUUUAAWUAAAAGCUUGUAUGAAUGGUUGGACGAGAUAAAUACUGUCUCUGAAUAAUAAAUAGAAUUUAAUUUUUAAGUUAAAAAGCUUWAAUGAUAAUAAAAGACGAGAAGACCCUAUAGAUCUUUAUAAUAUUUUUUAUAUAUUUAAUUAAGAUUAUUUUAUUGUUUAUAAUAUAUAUUAWUGUAUUGGGGUAAUAGAAAGAUUGAAUUAAUUCUUUAUUAUUUAUAUAUAAAUUAAUAGAUUUAUGAUCCUUUAUUAAAGAUUGUAAGAUUAAGUUACCUUAGGGAUAACAGCGUAAUUUUUUUGAAGAGUUCAUAUCGAUAAAAAAGUUUGCGACCUCKAUGUUGGAUUAAAAAUUAUUCUAGGUGUAGUAGUUUAGAAUUUUGGUCUGUUCGACCAUUAAAUUUUUACAUGAUCUGAGUUCAGACCGGUGUAAGCCAGGUCGGUUUCUAUCUUUAUUWAAUUAAUAUAUUUUAGUACGAAAGGACCAAAUAUAGAAUAUAUUUAUAUUUUUUAUUUUUGAAUUUUAUUAUUACUUUGGCAGAUUAGUGCAAUGAAUUUAGAAUUCAAGAAUAUAAUUUUUAUUAUAUGUAAUAUUGUAUAUUUUUGAUUUUAUUUCAUUGGUUUGUAUAUUGWUAUUAGUUAUCUGUGUUUUGGUAGGRGUAGCUUUUUUAACAUUA
rnacentral:rRNA from 1 species